rnacentral:rRNA from 1 species
AGUUGCCAUCAUUAGUUGGGCACUCUAAAGAGACUGCCGGUGGUCAAACCCGGAGGAAGGUGGGGAUGACGUCAAGUCCUCAUGGCCUUUAUGGCCUGGGCUACAAACGUGAUACAAUGGCUGAAACAAAGGGCAGCGAAGGAGCGAUCUGGAGCGAACCCAAAAAAGCAGUCUCAGUUCGGAUUGAAGUCUGCAACUCGACUUCAUGAAGUCGGAAUCGCUAGUAAUCGCGGAUCAGAACGCCGCGGUGAAUACGUUCCCAGGCCUU